GUACUCAAAGUCCCGCCUGAAUCUCCUGGUGACUCACAUUGGUGGUGCUUAGCCCUUGAUUUGGAAGCGAGGAAACUGUGGAUGAUUGAUUCCCUCUACCCCGAACCCUACAGCAAACAUGUUGAGGAGGUUGAUAUUCUGUCACCCCGAGUGGAAAACGGGAGAACUAAAUGGAUGGAAAAGAUGCACAGUUCAGGUUUUCGGCCCUUCAGAUACGGCUUACUGCGGUGUUUAUAUGUUGGCUUGCAUAAAGUUUUGUGCUAGAAGGUUCACAACUAAGUUCACUGUGG